CCGUGACUCACCUCGGCGCCGGGGCAGGCUGGUCCGGGCGGGCGAGGCGCAGGGCUCUCCCACACGUCGCGCCGCCAAUGGCAAGUUGGAGGGCGAGAUGCAAAUACCAGCUUAAAGGUGCCUGGCCACAGGUUAUUUUUGUGCCCUGAUACUCUCAAUAUGUUAACUAACCAGCCACCACAUAACCAUGAACCAACACGGGAAGGUCAGCUGCAUCAUGACUUCUAGAGCUCGGGGCCUCCACGGAGGAGACGCAUUCUUGGUCUCAAAGGAGCCAAGCUGGAGAGUGGCUUUUCAGCGAAACCCACCCCUAGCACCCGAGACGCGACUCAGAGUUUCCAUUCCGCUGCCUGCGGGUCAAGAGGGCCAUCCCCAGAGAGGAAACGCUGCCCCUAAACCGCGAUCCCUGAGCUGGAGGCGAGCCUCCCCGAGCUCCGGGGGCCCGGGAGGCGGCCGGAGGGACCCUGAAGCACGCACCAGACGGCCUCACGCCGGGACGCUAUCGCAACAGACAUUUGCAUGUUCUGUUCCUAGAGGUGAGUGAAGAUAUGCCCAGAGACUGCAGAGAGAACCAAGAUUUGGACAGAGCAAGAAAAACCUGGACUAGGUGGAAGGAGAACAAUAGCCAUCGGAGGAGUGACAGAGUUCCAGUGCAAACUCAGAUCCUACUCCUUGCACUCCUGGUGCACCAAUCCUUCCUGUCGAGCUGUCUGUGUCCGCCGCUAGAUUAUAAAGCCACCGAGGGCAGGGACUGGAUAUUACUCAUCUUAUCUCGGGGCCGUGGCACAUGGCACAUGGUAGUUGCACAGUAUGUUUGCUAGCUGACCAAUAAAUCCAUUUAUGAGUGUCCGUAUGUGUUCACGAAAUCAACUCCCAUGAUGGGUGCUCCUCCAGAAGCAUCUCUGUGUUGUGCUGCAAAUGCAAAGACAGCACAGGUGGAAAGAGACCUGGGAAGCCAGGCACCUCUGCCCAGACACUGGAUGUGACUCCUGGGCUUCUCCAACGGGGACACGGGCCUUAGAGGCACCACUGGAACUAGGUAAGGCCAUCGGGAAGGCGAAAGAUCAGGCGAAGCUCACGGGUGGGCCUCUGGAAGGCAUUUUGGUUCUUCGUCUCCAGAUUGUCAAUGCCCACCAGCCAAAGACCACUAGGACAUUCUCGUGGUUGAAUAAACUGGGUUUGCUGCUUGCUGCCGUGAGAAAGUGCACCAUGGAGAACCCGGGCCGUCUCAGGAAGAGCAUGCCUGGAAGGACUGCUUAUGGGACUCGGGCCAGGCUGGGUGAUUUGGGGAGGGUUUAAGGAAGCUAGGCUUUGCUCUGGUUGGAUGCUGUCAGGAGGCGUCUUGUUAAACAAAUUAUAUCCAAUAGGAGGGCAGACGAGAGUGAGGCUCAAUCAGUAAUUGGUAGGGAAGCAGCAGUCACUUAGAUCGGCCAGGCUGGAGGGUGGUGUUUGGUCAUUUCUGUGGUUUGGGCAAUGUUCAUGGUUUCGCCCGUGUUCACACGUAAUUCUGGAUUAGUCUUGUUUUUGUCUCCAUCCCCCACGGUCAGGGUGACCUCUGUGAUGCUAAUGUCCUAUGAACCUGUUUAUGUUCCACAGAACACCAGUUUUUAGCAACAUCAAGGCCUUAGGAGAGUCCCAGGCCAGCUUCCAGCUAUCAGGGGCUGCGUUUCUCUUUCUCUUUCAUCAUCUAGAAA